rnacentral:tRNA from 1 species
GAAGAAGAAGUUAUUUCAUAAUGCUUUAAUUACGCUAAAGUGGACUCAGGAUUUGAGCUUCUUCU